GACGAACGCUGGCGGCGUGCCUAAUACAUGCAAGUUGAGCGCUGAAGGUUGGUACUUGUACCAACUGGAUGAGCAGCGAACGGGUGAGUAACGCGUGGGGAAUCUGCCUUUGAGCGGGGGACAACAUUUGGAAACGAAUGCUAAUACCGCAUAAAAACUUUAAACACAAGUUUUAAGUUUGAAAGAUGCAAUUGCAUCACUCAAAGAUGAUCCCGCGUUGUAUUAGCUAGUUGGUGAGGUAAAGGCUCACCAAGGCGAUGAUACAUAGCCGACCUGAGAGGGUGAUCGGCCACAUUGGGACGGAGACACGGCCCAAACUCCUACGGGAGGCAGCAGUAGGGAAUCUUCGGCAAUGGACGAAAGUCUGACCGAGCAACGCCGCGUGAGUGAAGAAGGGUGUCGGAUCGUAAAACUCUGUUGGUAGAGAAGAACGUUGGUGAGAGUGGAAAGCUCAUCAAGUGACGGUAACUACCCAGAAAGGGACGGCUAACUACGUG
rnacentral:rRNA from 1 species